rnacentral:rRNA from 1 species
UAGGGAAUAUUGCAUAAUGGGCGAAAGCCUGAUGCAGCAACGCCGCGUGCGCGAUGAAGGCCUUCGGGUCGUAAAGCGCUUUUCGAGGGGAUGAGGGAGGACAGUACCCUCGGAAUAAGUCUCGGCUAACUACGUGCCAGCAGCCGCGGUAAAACGUAGGAGGCAAGCGUUAUCCGGAUUUACUGGGCGUAAAGCGCGUGCAGGCGGUUUGGCAAGUUGGAUGUGAAAGCUCCUGGCUCAACUGGGAGAGGUCGUUCAAAACUGCCAGACUUGAGGAUGGUAGAGGAAAAUGGAAUUCCGGGUGUAGUGGUGAAAUGCGUAGAUAUCCGGAGGAACACCAGUGGCGAAAGCGGUUUUCUGGACCAAUUCUGACACUCAGAUGCGAAAGCUAAGGUAGCAAACG